GACGAACGCUGGCGGCGUGCCUAAUACAUGCAAGUAGGACGCAGUUGGAACGGGUGAGUAACGCGUAGGUAACCUGCCUAUUAGAGGGGAUAACUAUUGGAAACGAUAGCUAUACCGAUACUUAGAUGGACCUGCGUUGUAUUAGCAAGUAGGUAGGGUAAUGGCUUACCUAGGCGACGAGACAUAGCCGACCUGAGAGGGGGAUCGGCAACACUGGGACUGAGACACGGCCCAGACUCCUACGGGAGGCAGCAGUAGGGAAUCGUCGGCAAUGGACGAAAGUCUGACCGAGCAACGCCGCGUGAGUGAAGAAGGUUUUCGGAUCGUAAAACUCUGUUGUUAGAGAAGCGGUAUCUAACCAGAAAGCCACGGCUAACUACGUGCCAGCAGCCGCGGUAAUUC
rnacentral:rRNA from 1 species